UUAUUACUCGUCUACUUUACUAAUUUUCUAUUUCUGUGAAUAUUAUAGGGAUUAAUACUGUAUGCUUAUGUAAUGUUCAUUCAAGGUUCAUUGAGCAGUGUGUCUGUCAAUUAUCCUGAACUGUUGGCAGUAUUGUUAAUGUACCUAAUUAUUUGAAAAUAUAUAUGAGUUGUUUCCAGCUAUGAUCCAUUAUUGAAUCAUCCAUUUCCAACUUCAAUAGGGUAAUGGAUGUCCAUUUCGUUUAGCAUUGACUUGUCACGAGUGGCACUGCAAGGACUGCACUCAAAUUCUUGUACAUAAAGCAAUAUCAAGCAUUUGGGCCCUAUUUGCUAGUAAUUUUAUCCAAGGUGCAUCAUAGGCUGUUCAAGCAAUCCGGAGGCCUUAAUCAAAUCGGUUUUGCUAGUGGUACACUGGGGUAUAUCGAAUGGUGUACAUCCCACUCACAUGGG
rnacentral:lncRNA from 1 species